rnacentral:rRNA from 1 species
AACGCUGGCGGCGUGCUUAACACAUGCAAGUCGAGCGAAGCACUUGUGAAAGAUUCUUCGGAUGAUUUCAUUUGUGACUGAGCGGCGGACGGGUGAGUAACGCGUGGGUAACCUGCCUCAUACAGGGGGAUAACAGUUGGAAACGACUGCUAAUACCGCAUAAGCGCACAGUACCGCAUGGUACAGUGUGAAAAACUCCGGUGGUAUGAGAUGGACCCGCGUCUGAUUAGCUAGUUGGUGGGGUAACGGCCUACCAAGGCGACGAUCAGUAGCCGACCUGAGAGGGUGACCGGCCACAUUGGGACUGAGACACGGCCCAAACUCNUACGGGAGGCAGCAGUGGGGAAUAUUGCACAAUGGGGGAAACCCUGAUGCAGCAACGCCGCGUGAGUGAAGAAGUAUUUCGGUAUGUAAAGCUCUAUCAGCAGGGAAGAAAAUGACGGUACCUGACUAAGAAGCCCCGGCUAACUACGUGCCAGCAGCCGCGGUAAUACGUAGGGGGCAAGCGUUAUCCGGAUUUACUGGGUGUAAAGGGAGCGUAGACGGCGAGACAAGUCUGAAGUGAAAGCCCGGGGCUCAACCCCGGGACUGCUUUGGAAACUGCCUUGCUAGAGUGCUGGAGAGGUAAGUGGAAUUCCUAGUGUAGCGGUGAAAUGCGUAGAUAUUAGGAGGAACACCAGUGGCGAAGGCGGCUUACUGGACAGUAACUGACGUUGAGGCUCGAAAGCGUGGGGAGCAAACAGG